rnacentral:lncRNA from 1 species
CCCUAACUCUACCCCUCACAGAAAACCUUCUGCAUUGUUACAAUUAAAAAAAUAAUAAUCUUUGUUUACUUAAUUUUUAUACCAAUUUUAUAAAUGAGGACAUCCCCAAAGGGAGGAUUUUGGAGAUUUUGUCAGGUUUAGCUCACUUUUGGUUACAAAUUUGUCCUCCAAAUAUGGUUAAGUAGGUACACACACACAUAUGCACGCAAAUAGUAUUUAGAGCUAACAAGGUAACCACACCACACCGUAUUAUAUUGAUAUCAUACUGAUGAAUUAAAUUAAAGUUCUUUGUUUUUAGUUACCAACGUUUCCACCCAGCUGUACAGUGAAAACAGUCAAAGGAUUGCUGUCUGUAAUUCCAUAUUUAAACAGAAAGCACCCACUCUUCAUUGGGAAUCUGCCAUAAACUUUUCCUCCAAUAUCAGCUCUGUUGAGAAGCUUGGCAGGUUUUUUAUUAUGGAGAAUCGAGUAUAUCUGCCUGCUGAUGUCAACAAUAGUGAGCUCACCUGUGUGGCCACAUACACCUCUGAGUCUGGCUUUGUUCAGCAGAAGAGCACACUUCAUCUCACAACAGGUGUAUUAAACCAAAUGCAAUCCCCAUUUCCAUGGGAAAUUAUGGCCAUAUCAAUUGGUUCUGUUUGUUUUAUUCUUGUAUCUCUGGCCGUGGUUUACACACUACGCAGAAAGCUCAGCGACUUGAGUGCACUGAAGAUGCUUUGCUGCAAAUCCAAAAUCUCAACACCAGCUGAAGACAAACCAUCCCAGCCUGCUGAUGUUGAAGAGGUGGAACCCUAUGCAAGUUACAUACAGAGAGUCAACUCCAUCUACAACUCCUCAGCUGAACUCUUCAACGCCUGAGAGACACUCGCUUUUUAUGAUGAAACAGGAUACCAGAAGAGAGCUGAGGGCAAAGAUAUGUCUGUGGUCAAAAUUACACAUGAAAAACAAUACUAGUGGAAAAAUAGUCAUCUCAAGAGAGCAUCCCCGAAGCAAACAGCGCCUGAAUGAUGAGCAAAAGUCACACUGACUCAAAAGAUGAAAGGUGAUGACAAAGGACCAUUUCUCUUAUAUGUGAUGAGGAAUAACUGGGACAACUUCAGCGUCAGCGAUAUCACUAAUAUGUAGAUUUGUAGAAAAUGAGCCUGGUUAGAUAUUAAUCAUCUAAACUAAUCAAAUUUGUACAUAAUUAUUUAUAUCAGAGUGUUAAAAGAAACAAAAAUCAGCCGCAAACUGUGUUUUCCUUGAUAAAUACUAACCAGGCCAAAUGUAGAGAACCUAUUUUACAUUGCAC